rnacentral:lncRNA from 1 species
AUUGUCUAGCUUUUUUACUGUUGCCCCAAGAUCCAGGCAGGAAGGACUUGGCCAUCAUGAAGCAAGCAAAAGAGUGAGUGACCUGAGGCCACAGCAGACCUCCCAUGGCCAUACUCCAUACAGCAGGAAACUGUCAGGAACCACCAAGGCCUCCAAACAGCUGAGAGAGAGACUGGGGACUCAUUCAGUGCUCCCCACCUCAUCACUGACUCCUGGUGUCAAGGAGAAGCCAGAGAUGCCCAGAGAAGAGCAACUGUCAUAACACUGUGUGUAGCCUUGAGCCUAACUCCGUGAACCUUUCUUCUCUUCCAGCUGGCCCUUCAACCUGCCCAUGCAGCAGGGCCUCCUUCAGCCAUGUUCCCAUUUAACUCUGAGCCCAGCAGGCACAAGCAUCAAACGUUGUCCUGAGUCAGUUCCCUGAUUCCUGGGUAAAUGGUGGUUGUCA